ensembl:rRNA 5S_rRNA 5S ribosomal RNA
GCUUACGGCCAUACCACCUUAGGCACGCCCGAUCUCGUCUGAUCUCGGAAGCUAAGCGGGGUCGGGCCUGGUUAGUACUUGGAUGGGUGACCGCCUGGGAAUACCAGGUGCUGUAAGCA